UGAACUGCAUCGACUCCAUGAGUUCAUCAGCUGUAGAUGCUCAUCCAGCAACCACAUUCUGAGAGUUUCAUUUAAAUGCAUCCAGCGGUUCACGAGAUAUUUUGCUAACRGACAGGSAGACAAACACUCACAAGCAAAAACGUUGUCAUGCACCUUUGCCUUUCCAAAGUAGGUGAUGAUAAGUUGCGUUUUGUCUGAUAAGACUCUCCUAACGUGGCUCUAUAAAAGAGAAGAGUUUAAAAGAAGUCUGGGCCCAGCCUUGUAAAAAARCACAGGUUUCAACACGCUCCACAUACACCACCACUUGGCACGAUGCACUGCAGGCAACAAGGAAUUAGAGGCGCAGCAGCUUGCCAGCAGAAUACCUGAAUAUCUGUCGCCUGGGGGAACACUAGGAGACGGAGGCGGAGCUACAAAAAAACCCAUCAACCAUCCUGUUUUUGGUCCUCGAAGCCACGAUGAGGAUAUGUAAACUAAUGAAGUAUGUGAAGAAACCCACACUCUGCAGCGUGAUGAAAGAACCAGGUGCUCACACAGAGUUCUGCAAAUAUUAACAGGAAAGCAGAAGAAAAAGAAGACGAGAGAAACAAAAUUCUGCCUCCAUAUUUUAGCUCCCACUGUACCUAAAACCACAAGCCAAAACAACUUUCUGCCUUUCUGCACAAUAAAAACACUCCACUAUCUAUGUGGUUAUCGCUCG